UAUUGGUCAAUGGGUGAGAGCCUGAACCAGCCAUGCCGCGUGCAGGAAAAAGGCCUUCUGGGUUGUAAACUGCUUUUGCCAGGGGAUAAAGUGACCUUGCGAGGUUAAUUGAAGGUACCUGGUGAAUAAGCCACGGCUAACUACGUGCCAGCAGCCGCGGUAAUACGUAGGUGGCAAGCGUUGUCCGGAUUUAUUGGGUUUAAAGGGUGCGUAGGCGGCCCUGUAAGUCAGUGCUGAAAUAUCCCAGCUUAACUGGGAGGGUGGCAUUGAUACUGCGGGGCUAGAGUACAGAUGAGGUAGGCGGAAUUGACGGUGUAGCGGUGAAAUGCUUAGAUAUCGUCAAGAACACCUAUAGCGAGGGCAGCUUACUAGGCUGUAACUGACGCUGAGGCACGAAAGUGUGGGGAUCAAACA
rnacentral:rRNA from 1 species